rnacentral:rRNA from 1 species
CGGGUGAGUAACACGUGGGUAACCUGCCUGUAAGACUGGGAUAACUCCGGGAAACCGGGGCUAAUACCGGAUGGUUGUUUGAACCGCAUGGUUCAAACAUAAAAGGUGGCUUCGGCUACCACUUACAGAUGGACCCGCGGCGCAUUAGCUAGUUGGUGAGGUAACGGCUCACCAAGGCAACGAUGCGUAGCCGACCUGAGAGGGUGAUCGGCCACACUGGGACUGAGACACGGCCCAGACUCCUACGGGAGGCAGCAGUAGGGAAUCUUCCGCAAUGGACGAAAGUCUGACGGAGCAACGCCGCGUGAGUGAUGAAGGUUUUCGGAUCGUAAAGCUCUGUUGUUAGGGAAGAACAAGUACCGUUCGAAUAGGGCGGUACCUUGACGGUACCUAACCAGAAAGCCACGGCUAACUACGUGCCAGCAGCCGCGGUAAUACGUAGGUGGCAAGCGUUGUCCGGAAUUAUUGGGCGUAAAGGGCUCGCAGGCGGUUUCUUAAGUCUGAUGUGAAAGCCCCCGGCUCAACCGGGGAGGGUCAUUGGAAACUGGGGAACUUGAGUGCAGAAGAGGAGAGUGGAAUUCCACGUGUAGCGGUGAAAUGCGUAGAGAUGUGGAGGAACACCAGUGGCGAAGGCGACUCUCUGGUCUGUAACUGACGCUGAGGAGCGAAAGCGUGGGGAGCGAACAGGAUUAGAUACCCUGGUAGUCCA